rnacentral:pre_miRNA from 1 species
GUCUUACAUGAAUAUAAUAUCAUUGUUUGUUAGCCAAGGAUGACUUGCCUGCACCUUGAUUGCAAGACGAGGGUUUCAAGUGGCUGGAAGCCUCUCUUGUUUGGUUGCCAGGCAGUCUCCUUGGCUAAGUCACAGGCUCUUAUCUUUCAUGCUAGGCCU